AUUACUAUAAAACUAUACUACUAACAUGAUUUUUCUGUUUUAACUGCAGUGCUUUUUGUGUUACUGACAUUAUUUGGUAGUAAUUUUCUAAAAUACAACAGCUAAUUCUGAGUGUCCAGCAGAAUGCAAGAGUUUUUCAUCUUUUUCCACUGAUGAUGCAUCAUUUAGUCAGCCUUUUGCUUCUGUUUGUCAUUGCAUGUUGAGUAUAUACAUAGCAUUAAUACUAAUUUUUAUAUUGAUGCUUGCUUAAAGACGGCUCUAAAUGUAGGGACUGGUGGUGCUGUACAUACAGUUUAUGGAUUGUUAGUGCUGUGGUGGGUUGUGUUGCAGUUCCUCCAGCUUUCAGUUCUCCAGUAAUAUUCUUGUCCAUAAGGAAUUAACUCAUCUGUAAACUUUCUGCUUUGGGAAAACAAUGUGAGAUUUGGGAAGCUGCUUCAGGCAAACUGAAAGAACUGUCCAGCGUUUUCCAAGCUGAAUUUAUUAAAAUGCUUAUAGACUUGAAAGGGCUUUUUAUGUUGGCUUUCAACACUUUAAAAGCCUAUCAGCUCUUAGGAAUAUUUAUCUAUACAGGGAGCAUGUAUGCUUAUUUAUCUUAAAUAUGUUUAUUAAUUGAGAUGAUGCAUACUUGCUAAGACAAAUAUUAUUUGUAGCUUAGUUCUGGCAGUUGCAGUUUGAAAGUGACUGGAGCUUUAAGAAAAUUUGGAUAACUUAAGUUUCUAUAAGGGAAUAACAGAUGCUUUUUUGAAAAUGAUAGGCUAUGAUGUGUCCAGGUAUUCAGACUAAAUAAUAGAGAGUUGUGGCUAAGCUCUGACUUAGUUGAGAAAAUCAGUGAGGAUGAAAAGAUAGAUAUAAUCUUAUUUUAUUGAUUCAGUUUGCUUGUUAUCAAAAGUCAUCUUAAAAAUUUCAAAACAAAUGAGUCACAAAAUAGUGUUCCCUCUUUCAGUUGGUUAUCACCAGCUAGUUAUAAGGACGAGAAAGCGUAUCAUUAACUGUUGCAGAGUCAUUCUUAACUAAAAUAGUUCUUAAAGGUUUACUGGUGUCUUUCUGACGAAUGCAUAAAGGUCUUAAAAGCUGCAGGUUGUAUCAGGCUUUCAUCAAACCUAAAGCUGAGCUGUGUAGCAGCAAAUUCUUCUCUGCAAUUUCCUUUAAAUCAGGAGCCUCUGAAUAGUACAGCUUGGAAAGAGAAGCUUCAGGGAUAAUCUGAGCUUCAUGUUGACACUGUGUAGCAGUGGGCAGUUUAUCACUAAUGCUUUCAUAUUUGUAUCUCUACGUGUUAUCAUUUUUGUUGUUGUUUGUUUUGAUUUUUAAACACACACACAUACACACACACAAAAAAACAAACAACAAGCCUUACUACAGAGAAUUACUUUGUGGCAGGAUAUCCUUUGUUAAGCGGGAUAUGAUGUGGAAUAUCACUCUAGGAGAACUUCUUCUUUACAGUGUCUUUCAAGAGUUUCUAACCGUGAUUAUCCCAAACUGUUUAACCACCUGCAUUAUGUUAUGCAGAUAUUAGUCAUAACAAUAUCUAAAAUUUUGUCAUUCAUUCUUAAGUAACUACUGCAGGAACUAAGGGGUGGAGAAAUGGGUUUUAAAAAAGUGGAAGCUAUGUUGCAGUGAACUUAAAUAUUAUAAGAUGAUAAUGUGUUACAUAAAGAUUUGUUUGUUCACUUGCAGUAAGUUACAGCUGAGUGAGAAGUCAGCUUCAGAAUCCUCAAACAUACUUGUCAUCUUGAAUGGUUGAAGGCAGUUCUGGGGAACUGGGUUUCUCUCCCCCUUCCCACUUUCCUCAUCUGAGCCAGGUGUCAUGCAGCCAGCUGGAGAAGUAAAGUUUACGUCAGUGCUUUGCCAAAUGCACAACAUUUUCCCAAGUAGGAUAAGUCUAUUUUUGUUGCUCUUAAUUUUAGGACUAACAGGUAGCUUCCUUUUGAUCCUUGAAAUAUUUUGAAAAUAGGCUUCCAGUCCUUUGGAUUCAGAAUGGAUUGCUUUGGUAUUAAAUUUUCAUGUUAUGAGUUCCAUUGGAAAUAAAUGUGAUUUCUACCCCCUGCAGUAAAAUGUUGGUUUAUACCAAAGCAGUCUGGGAGGCAAAUUGGCUGCUUAUUUAAGGAUGUCAUAAUGAAGAGCUGUGAACCUAGAUAUCUUCAUUAGUGUGAGUAGAUUGUAUGAAGAGAGCUGGCUGUGCUGUAUUACUAUUGCUGCACACAAAUUAGCCCAGUAGCCAGAAUGACUGAGGGCUCUUCAUUGUGUGUUGUCAUUUGGUGCUGAGGACAAAAUAGGGAACCGCUAAAAGCAGGGGAAACGCUACUCACAUAGAUAAUUUUGGAACAUGGCAAUUUUCAGUGGUUCUCAGGGAAUGUUUUCCUAGUAAAUGACAAGAUGGGGGGGAAGGGAGAAUGAAAAGUGGACUGGAAUAGUGGUGACAUUUGAAAGGGGACAAGCCUUGUCAGAGGCUUGACUUCAUACUGAUAAGAAAUAUAUUUCCUGAUUGUAUGGGAGGCUGCUGCUCUGAGCAGAUAAGAAGUGGGGUUACAUGCUGGUUUAUCUGUAAGGAGGCGCAGAGUUGCUCUCAGACUUGUGAUUUAUUGAAUUUAGAUAAAAAAAAAUCCAAAGGGAUUUACAGCUAAUCAUAAAAUAGCAUAGAUUUAAAAAAUAAAAAUAAAUGGUGAAAACUGGAAAAUAUUAUAGUGAGAUAUAAGUAGUUGUGUAUAAAAAGGACAUAAGUAUACAUCCAUAUUUUAUAAGGAUUAAAGGUCAUUCUGCUGCACCAUAGAAGGACAUUUUACAUGUAUUUUGUGGAGAAGUAGAAGUGGGUGUGGAUCUUGCUGAAUAUAGAGUAGGGCAUGCCCUUGGGCUGUAGAACUGACCUCAGUAUGGGUAGUAGCACGCUUGACAGCGUGACUUCUUUCAGUGCCAAGAUGAUAUGUGGUUGGAAAUAGCCAAAACUCAGGGCUGCUCUAAAUGACACCAGAUGUCAGACAGCCCUGGGUGGUAUUUGUAAUUUAGAAGAUGGAAGUUUUUGUUCUGUGUUUUUGUACUUAGUGAAAAAGAGAAUAUGGUUCUUAAGCAAGUUUUUGUCCUAAAUCUUGGUGUUUGACAGUUGUUCAGUGGGUUGAACUAAGUUUUAAAGCAGGUACUGCAUGGGCGAUGGUACUAAAAAAUUUCUCCUGCAAAUAUAUUGCAGCAGUCUGAAAGAAGCAUUUCAAAGGCUGCCUGCCUCUGUGUACUCUCUAUAGAUUAUUCACACCUGGAAAUUCUAGUGUUUGUUCUGCAGUCUGUGGUACAUCUACAAAGCCAUAGGUUCUAUUAGUGCAGUCUACUGGCAUCCUUAAACUUUUAUCUUACUGGGUCAACAAUCUAUAGACUGAACCUAUGGCACACAUCUGGCCAGGCUAAACCUGCCUAGAUCUGUAAACACCUGAAUAAAAAAGUCACCCAAGCAAUGCUGAGGCCUGGGCUCCUCUGGCUGUUUUUUCCAAUUGUGUUCCAAGUGGGCAGAUACUUGUUGCAAUAUAGCUGCAAGGUAUAAGCCUUACUACUUUAUUUUUUGAAAGUUUAGCUUUGACCAUAUUUUUGAAUCCUUGAAAUUGGAGAAAGAGCUACUUCUGACAGUACCUUUUGUUGCGUAGCCAUAGGUGUGACAGACAAAGGGCUAAAAUCUUACUGCAUCUUUGGAGUUGAGUCAUCCAGCUGCUGUUCAGGCAAAGCUUCAUAAUACCCUUCUGUCUCAAUAUUACAUGAGAGAAAAUGUGGUGUUUUAUGUAACUGUAAUUAAAAAUCAUAUAUUCUUUUGUUUCUCUAUUUGCAUAUGUUGUGAUAUAAUAGCUAACAUCUUAAAAUGAAGGUUUAAAUUUAUAGCAGUUGCUCAACUAAUGAAUAUAUUGAGCUGCUCCAAUACAGGGCGCUCUUGGCUGAGUAAAAUAUUACAAAAUGAAUAAUUGGGAUGCAGUGCAGAACGGCAACUUUGUUUGCAUAAAUCCUGGGUUUUGAUAAGUGUGAUUCAGAGAGAUUUCAAGGUUUUAGUGAGCUGUCCUCAACUGGCUAUGAAAAAAUAAAGCUGUCUCUUAAGCCCUGUAGUGUUUCUAAAGCACGCUUUCUUAUUGCUUUUUCUGAAUGCAUGCAUGAAUUCUUGUGCUGUUUACUUUUUGCAGUCCUCAGAGGAACGUACUGAAUUAUUGGCAUAGAAAGAUUCAAAUACAUGUUGGGAGUUUCACUGACUUUAUUUUUGCAAAAGAGGCACAAGUUGAUUAUUCUGCUCAGAUCUUGGUGAGGGCUUGUAAGGGAACUGUUGUGUCAUAGCCUGAACUGAUGAUUGAGCACCUGGUGAAGGGAGUGGCUGGCCAAGGCAGUGCAGGUGCAAGCAAUUUCCCUGUGCUUUACCCUGGGCCCUGCUCCUCCCUGGGCUCAUUUAAGGGCAAGUCUCCAAAAGGAGAGCAUGUGGAUGAAUCCCACUUCCUGAGAAGGAGAGUUCUGUAGCCAGAGACCGUAUCACUAGAGGUGGAAGAUUGAGGAGUAAGCAGGAAGGGAUGAUCACCUGCAGGUGAAGACAGCAAAAUGUGUACUGAAGCUCACUCAGUAUUGGAAUAUUAUGAUUUCUGAGUUACGGAAUAGCCCGGUAUGGUUGGCAUAAUCCCUAUCACAUAAGCAAAGGUGGAGGGAUUGUGCCUUCUAUUGUAUUUCACAACCAUCCUUUCACUCGUUAAUUAUGUGGGUUGCUUUUUGGUUUAAGGAAGAGAGAAAAGGGCAUCCUGAUCCCUGCAAUCUGCACUGUUUCUUGUUCUUUGGGACCCCACUAGUCAAAACAACGGGAUUCAUAUGCUGACGACAGCUGAGAGACCAAAGUAUGACCAGAUGGCAAGGGGAGCUGAGCUGUCUGUUUCUGCAAGCGAUAGGCACAUUAUGGUUAUUCUCUUCUGGGGACGAGGGGGUGGAAAGCAGGAGGAGGGGGAGAAGGAAAGAAAGAGGCAGAUAUUAGAUAAACAGACUGUAGCCUGAAUACAUAUGACAUGUGGGAGGAAAGCUUUGUUAAGUAAGAACUGAAAGCCUCUCGCAGAGCAUUAAGCAGCACCGCCUGUGCAUUGGACUGAGCCAAACCAGAAGAAAGACAAGCUCAAAUGUGUAAGCUUGGUGCAAGGCUGCUGAGGUUCACCAGACUUCUGCAGAGGUGCUUGAAACAGUGGAAUACUGUAAAGUAUGACUCUGCAUAUAUUAGCUUGCUUUUUUAUUAAGAAGGGUCAUCUAAUAAGGAAGAUGCCAAGUGUUUCUUCCUUAUCUUUAUGAUGUGCAAGCUAUGCUUUUAUGAGCCAAAGUUGAUUCAUAGUUUCAUUCUGCUGGAAUUUUUCAGCUUCAUGUGCAGGAGAUGGCUUUAUGGGGUCAUGAUAUCUGCUGUUUGCACUGCAGUUGCUGCAAGUUCAGUCUAGCCAGUGAUUUGCAGGCGGUGCUCAGCAUGCUCCAUAAUUAAGGAGUGCAUCCUUGAUCUGAUCACCCUGAGCCUGAUCUGGGGUGAGCUAAAAUCUGUAAAAAAAAAUUUCCCACAUAACUGUACUCAGCUCUGGUUUAUGUCUUAUGAAUGAAACUGAAUUACAGUUUUGUCAGCUACUUACAACAGAGAUGUCAAGUGUUUCCAUGCUGCUCUCUCUGGCUAAGCAACCUAAGUAGCAAUAUUUGUCCUGUUUUGUUACCUUGUAUUUUUUUCUAGUUGUUCUUGUUGCGAGACUUCAGUAAAUGAGAAGUAGAGCAAUUGAUAUUUCUGUUACCUGGAAAAAAAGAGGCAGUUUUCAGUAUUUUGCUCUUAUGUGAGGAAAAUGCUGGUGAUCAUAGUAACAAUAGAGGCUACUGUCCAUCCACCAA